ACUUCAAGAGAUAGUGGCGGACGGGUGAGUAACGCGUGAGCAACCUACCCAUCAGAGGGGGAUAACUCUGGGAAACUGGAGCUAAUACCGCAUACGCUCUUCUCAGGGCAUCCUGAGAGGAGGAAAGGUGGCGGAAGCUGCCGCUGAUGGAUGGGCUCGCGUCCCAUUAGCUAGUUGGUGGGGUAACGGCCUACCAAGGCAACGAUGGGUAGCCGGCCUGAGAGGGUGGUCGGCCACACUGGGACUGAGACACGGCCCAGACUCCUACGGGAGGCAGCAGUGGGGAAUAUUGCGCAAUGGGCGAAAGCCUAACGCAGCGACGCCGCGUGGGUGAAGAAGGCCUUCGGGUUGUAAAGCCCUGUCACCUUGGACGAAGGACCGUGGGGUUAAUAGCCCUACGGGGUGACGGUACAAGGGGAGGAAGCCCCGGCUAACUACGUGCCAGCAGCCGCGGUAAGACGUAGGGGGCGAGCGUUGUCCGGAAUUACUGGGCGUAAAGCGCGUGUAGGCGGGCGUUUAAGUCGGGUGUGAAAACCCUGGGCUCAACCGAGGGAAUGCAUUCGAUACUGGGCGUCUUGAGGGCGGGAGAGGGAAGUGGAA
rnacentral:rRNA from 1 species